AAGUUAAAGGGCCGCGGUAUUUUGACCGUGCAAAGGUAGCAUAAUCAUUAGUCUUUUAAUUGAAGGCUGGUAUGAAUGGUUUGACGAAAUAUUAACUGUCUCCUUGUGAUUUAUAGAAUUUAACUUUUGAGUUAAAAGGCUUAAAUAAAUGUAAAAGACGAGAAGACCCUAUAGAUCUUUAUAUAGAAAUAUGUUUGUUUUGUUUAGAAGUAUUAAUUACAGAUUUAUUACUAUAUUUUGUUGGGGUGACAUGAAGAUAUAAGUAACUCUUUAUUGUUUGCACAUUGAUGUAUGGGUAAAUGAUCCGUUAGUAGCGAUUAUAAGAUAAAGUUACCUUAGGGAUAACAGCGUUAUUUUUUUUGAGAGUUCUUAUCGACAAAAAAGAUUGCGACCUCGA
rnacentral:rRNA from 1 species